rnacentral:rRNA from 1 species
CAAUAGCGUAUAUUUAAGUUGUUGCAGUUAAAAAGCUCGUAGUUGGAUUUCGGUUAAGAGCGACCGGUCCGCCGUUUGGUGUGCACUGGUUGGUUUUAACUUCCUGUAGAGGACGUGCUCUGGGUUUAACGACCUGGACUCGGAGUCUACGUGGUUACUUUGAAAAAAUUAGAGUGUUCAAAGCGGGCUUACGCUUGAAUAUUUCAGCAUGGAAUAACACUAUAGGACUCCUGUCCUAUUUCGUUGGUCUCGGGACGGGAGUAAUGAUUAAGAGGAACAGUUGGGGGCAUUCGUAUUUCAUUGUCAGAGGUGAAAUUCUUGGAUUUAUGAAAGACGAACUUCUGCGAAANCANNNGCCAAGGAUGUUUACAUNAA